AACGAACGCUGGCGGCAUGCCUAACACAUGCAAGUCGAACGAGACCUUCGGGUCUAGUGGCGCACGGGUGCGUAACGCGUGGGAACCUGCCCUUAGGUUCGGAAUAACUCCCCGAAAGGGGUGCUAAUACCGGAUAAUGUCUUCGGACCAAAGAUUUAUCGCCUUUGGAUGGGCCCGCGUUGGAUUAGCUAGUUGGUAGGGUAAAAGCCUACCAAGGCGACGAUCCAUAGCUGGUCUGAGAGGAUGAUCAGCCACACUGGGACUGAGACACGGCCCAGACUCCUACGGGAGGCAGCAGUGGGGAAUAUUGGACGAUGGGCGAGAGCCUGAUCCAGCAAUGCCGCGUGAGUGAUGAAGGCCUUAGGGUUGUAAAGCUCUUUUAACCGGGAUGAUAAUGACAGUACCGGGAGAAUAAGCGCCGGCUAACUCCGUG
rnacentral:rRNA from 1 species